UCGUACGGGGCCGCAAGGCCCAGUGGCGGGCGGGUUAGUAAUACGAUCGAACGUACCCUGAGGUGGAGGAUAGCGGCGGGAAACCGCCGGUAAUACUCCAUGAUCUCUCCGGAGCAAAGUCGCAAGGCGCCUUUGGAUCGGCGAUCGUCCUAUCAGCUAGUUGGCGGGGUAAAGGCCCACCAAGGCGAUGACGGGUAGCAGGUGUGAGAGCACGACCUGCAACAUCGGGACUGAGACACUGCCCGGACUCCUACGGGAGGCUGCAGCGACGAAUCUUCCGCAAUGGGCGAAAGCCUGACGGAGCGACGCCGCGUGUGGGAUGAAGCGCCUUCGGCGUGUAAACCACUGUCAGAGGACAGAAACACUGAUUGUCCUCAGAGGAAGGGGCGACUAACUCUGUGCCAGCAGUCGCGGUAAUACAGAGGCCCCGAGCGUUAAUCGGAAUUACUGGGCUUAAAGGGUGCGUAGGCGGACCAGAAAGUGCUUUGUGAAAGCCCCCGGCUCAACCGGGGAACUGCGGGGCAUACUGCUGGUCUUGAGGCAAGUAAGGGUUGCGAGAACUGUAGGUGGAGCGGUGAAAUGCGUAGAUAUCUACAGGAAUGCCGAUGGUGAAGACGCGCAACUGGGCUUGUCCUGACGCUGAGGCACGAAAGCGUGGGGAGCAAACAGGAUUAGAUACCCUGGUAGUCCACGCCGUAAACAAUGCACGCUAGAUCGGGGUGGCUCUGACGCCGGCUCGGUCGAAGCAAAAGCGAUAAGCGUGCCGCCUGGGGAGUACGGUCGCAAGGCUAAAACUCAAAGGAAUUGACGGGGGCUCACACAAGCGGUGGAGCAUGUU
rnacentral:rRNA from 1 species